rnacentral:rRNA from 1 species
CCUACGGGUGGCAGCAGUGAGGAAUAUUGGUCCAUGGUCGGGAGACUGAACCAGCCAAGCCGCGUGAGGGAGGAAGGUACAGAGUAUCGUAAACCUCUUUUGUCAGGGAACAAAGACUGGGACGCGUCCCCGGAUGAGUGUACCUGAAGAAAAAGCAUCGGCUAACUCCGUGCCAGCAGCCGCGGUAAUACGGAGGAUGCGAGCGGUAUCCGGAUUUAUUGGGUGUAAAGGGUGCGCAGGCGGUCCGUAAAGUCAGCGGUCAAAGCCCGGGGCUCAACCCCGGGCCGGCCGUUGAAACUGGCAGUCUCGAGUUGGAGAGAGGUAUGCGGAAUGCGCGGUGUAGCGGUGAAAUGCAUAGAUAGCGCGCAGAACUCCGAUUGCGAAGGCAGCAUGCCGGCUCCACACUGACGCUGAGGCACGAAAGCGUGGGUAUCGAACAGGAUUAGAUACCCCAGUAGUC